GAAAAAUCCCAAUUGCUUCCCCAAUCUGCCUUUUGCCUGAAUGAAGCACGAACUAAAGGACCCCCUCAGCUUUUGCCUUCAAAGCUGCAUUUCAUUAAUCAAAGGGGGUUUCAGCCCAAUAACUUGCACACAUUGCUUUCCAUUUUAAUCAACACUGGGCUUUCUAAUUUGGCCCACCGAAUAAACUUCAGCACAACAGCUUCAGUGCAGUGCAUAACAACAGC
rnacentral:lncRNA from 1 species